UGAUGUCCUCGAAGUCUUUGGACUGGUAGGUUUGUAUCGGUCUCUUCGGAGUCGACCUUAUCUCACACACCGUGAACUGUGGCUUCGGCCAUUUUACACAAACUGUUAGUAAUGAAUGUAACAUCAUAACAAACAUAAAACUUUUAACAACGGAUCUCUUGGCUCUCGCAUCGAUGAAGAACGCAGCGAAAUGCGAUAAGUAAUGUGAAUUGCAGAAUUCAGUGAAUCAUCGAAUCUUUGAACGCACCUUGCGCCCUUUGGUAUUCCGAAGGGCAUGCCUGUUUGAGUGUCAUGAAACCUCACCCCACUUGGGUUUUUGCCCGAGCGGUGGUGGAUUGGGUGUCUGCCGUUACUGGCUCACCUUAAAAGCAUAAGCAACUUUGGAUGUCAUACGUUUCAUCCUUACGAGUGGCUGAUAACCCCACAUAACUCAUGAUCUGGCCUCAAAUC
rnacentral:rRNA from 1 species